rnacentral:rRNA from 1 species
GGGACGAUAACGGCGUCGAGCGGCGGACGGGUGAGUAAUGCCUAGGAAAUUGCCCUGAUGUGGGGGAUAACCAUUGGAAACGAUGGCUAAUACCGCAUGAUGCCUACGGGCCAAAGAGGGGGACCUUCGGGCCUCUCGCGUCAGGAUAUGCCUAGGUGGGAUUAGCUAGUUGGUGAGGUAAGGGCUCACCAAGGCGACGAUCCCUAGCUGGUCUGAGAGGAUGAUCAGCCACACUGGAACUGAGACACGGUCCAGACUCCUACGGGAGGCAGCAGUGGGGAAUAUUGCACAAUGGGCGCAAGCCUGAUGCAGCCAUGCCGCGUGUGUGAAGAAGGCCUUCGGGUUGUAAAGCACUUUCAGUCGUGAGGAAGGUAGUGUAGUUAAUAGCUGCAUUAUUUGACGUUAGCGACAGAAGAAGCACCGGCUAACUCCGUGCCAGCAGCCGCGGUAAUACGGAGGGUGCGAGCGUUAAUCGGAAUUACUGGGCGUAAAGCGCAUGCAGGUGGUUUGUUAAGUCAGAUGUGAAAGCCCGGGGCUCAACCUCGGAAUAGCAUUUGAAACUGGCAGACUAGAGUACUGUAGAGGGGGGUAGAAUUUCAGGUGUAGCGGUGAAAUGCGUAGAGAUCUGAAGGAAUACCGGUGGCGAAGGCGGCCCCCUGGACAGAUACUGACACUCAGAUGCGAAAGCGUGGGGAGCAAACAGGAUUAGAUACCCUGGUAGUCCACGCCGUAAACGAUGUCUACUUGGAGGUUGUGGCCUUGAGCCGUGGCUUUCGGAGCUAACGCGUUAAGUAGACCGCCUGGGGAGUACGGUCGCAAGAUUAAAACUCAAAUGAAUUGACGGGGGCCCGCACAAGCGGUGGAGCAUGUGGUUUAAUUCGAUGCAACGCGAAGAACCUUACCUACUCUUGACAUCCAGAGAACUUUCCAGAGAUGGAUUGGUGCCUUCGGGAACUCUGAGACAGGUGCUGCAUGGCUGUCGUCAGCUCGUGUUGUGAAAUGUUGGGUUAAGUCCCGCAACGAGCGCAACCCUUAUCCUUGUUUGCCAGCGAGUAAUGUCGGGAACUCCAGGGAGACUGCCGGUGAUAAACCGGAGGAAGGUGGGGACGACGUCAAGUCAUCAUGGCCCUUACGAGUAGGGCUACACACGUGCUACAAUGGCGCAUACAGAGGGCGGCCAACUUGCGAAAGUGAGCGAAUCCCAAAAAGUGCGUCGUAGUCCGGAUUGGAGUCUGCAACUCGACUCCAUGAAGUCGGAAUCGCUAGUAAUCGUGGAUCAGAAUGCCACGGUGAAUACGUUCCCGGGCCUUGUACACACCGCC